AAGAGUAUCGGGAAAAAUGUCAAA
rnacentral:siRNA from 1 species